GCACCCGCGGUAAUUCCAGCACCAAUAGCGUAUAUUAAUGCUGCUGCUGUUAAAAAGCUCGUAGUUGGAUCAAGAGCUCCACAGUGCACGGUGGCCCCGUUGUCUGGCUGGUCUACGGGUCGGUCAGGCACGGCGGAAUCACCCCGUGCGCCACGCUGUGGACUCUAACAGACCGAAACGGUUCCCUGUGAGUAGGCUCCUUUAUUGGGGCUGAAAGCGCCUACGCAUCAACCAUAUGCAUACGGGACGUCGGUCAAUGUUACUGUGAACAAACCAGCGUGUCCAAAGCAGGCUCAGCCUGAAUGUUCGAGCAUGGAAUAACAAGGGAUCGAUUCUCUCGGUUCUUUUUGUUGGUUUUUAGCCCGAGAAGGAGUAAUUCAGGUCACGGUGUCUGAGUUGGGUUCCCCUGCCUUCGGGUCAGGCCCCAAUUAGGCCGUGGCCUUACGGGAUCAAUAGGGACUGACGGGGUCGUACCUACUUCCGCGUCAGAGGUGAAAUUCUUAGAUCGCGGGAAGAGGAACUUCUGCGAAAGCAUUCGACAAGAAUGUCUUCAUUAAUCAAGAACGAGAGUGUGGGGAUCGAAGAUGAUCAGAUACCGUCGUAGUCCACUACUGUAAACAAUGCCGUCUCAGGAUUGAGAAGUGAACCAAAUGACUUUCACAGCACUAACCCCUGAAACGAGAAAUCAAAGAUUAUGGGUUCAGGGGGGAGUACAUUCGCAAGGCUGAAACUUAAAGGAAUUGACGGAAUGACACCACAAGGCGUGGAGUAUGCGGCUUAAUUUGACUCAACACGGGGAAUUUUACUAUGUCAGGACAAUGUAAGGAUUGACAGAUUGAGAGCUCUUUCUCGAUCCAUUGUGUGGUGGUGCAUGGCCGCUCCUGGUCGGUGGAGUGAUUUGUCUGGUUGAUUCCGUUAACGGACGAGAUCUCGACCCUUAAAUAGGUGCCCUCGUCGGCUGUAGUCUCGGCUCCGCCGGCUUGCUGGAUUGGAACGGGACGAGACUGUGGGAAUACUUCUUAAGGGGACUGUGUGCGUCUAUAGCACGCGGAAGAGCGAGCCAAUAGCAGGUCUGUGAUGCUCCUAAAUGUCCUAGGUUGCACGCGCACUACACUGAUGCAAUAAACGAGUCUGAGUGCCUUCUCGGCAACCUACCUGGAAGCGGGUGGGAAAUCUUUUGAACUUGCAUCGUGAUGAG
rnacentral:rRNA from 1 species